AGGAAAGGCGCCUUUGCCGGGAACUCGGAUCCGUUGUCUAAAUGUAGAUUUUGGGCUUUUAGGGAGGAGUCGCCUGACUGCCUGGCAUUUCCUCAGCGGAUUCGAGCCACGCGCGUCGGGGACCUGCGGGCGCGGCGCGCGUCUACACAGCCGGAGCCGCCCUGCACGCUAGGGGACCGGACACCCGCGCGCCCGGCAUGCGCCGGCACCUGCGGGAGGGCUCGGCCGUGUACUUCCUGGAAAGCUUUUUCUUGUAAAAUGUGUUAUCGGGCAGUUGCGCACUUUCCCGUUUUAUAGGCGCUGUCCGGGUAGGAGCUGCACCUCCUCCAGCGACCCGGCUGGGAGAGGAGUCGUGGGUCGCGACCCAGCGCCCCGGACAAGUGCGCGCGGCCUCCGAGGGGCGGGCCGACGGGCCCGGGACCGGGCGCUGCUCCCGUCCACUUGCCCGUCAGUUAGUCUGUCCGUCUGUUCUUGCGUCCUUCUGUCCUCCGGUCUCAGCCCUUCCCUGUGCUGGCCCGCUUUUCCCGGGAGGAGGUGGAGACGGCGCGUGAGACCCCUGAUUGUGCGCCUGCCUCUGCGCUCUUCCUAAGCUAAGGGUUUGCUGUCCAAAUGAGAGAUUUUGUUUUAUUUUGGAUUUUUGUGUUUGUUUGCUUGCUGGGUUUGUGUUGAUCUUUCUUUUUUUCUUCCUGCGUGCAACAUGAACGCAGUGCGAGUAUUUCCGAUGAAUGCACCCGGGGAAAAGUUAAGUUUCUUGUCCCAGAGCUCUCAGGCGGAGCACCGGAAUCUACUUCCUUUCCUUGUUUGAGGAAAAACCAGACUCAAAAGCUUCACUUCUGAAAAAAAAAACACCAGUAGGCUCUCACACAGCAACUCUAUCAACCAAGUGAGAAUCUGUCGUCUUUGAUGGCUGGGUUUCUCGACUGACUCCUUUCUACCACCAAGGCCACGUGCAACCUCGCUUGCUGGAUGGCAGGAACAGCGGGCACAGUCAGAGGUCACGGGGGUUUGGUUUGGAGAAUAUGGCAGCUAAGGGCCCGACAACUCAUGCGUCCAUACAUGCAUGCAAGAACAGUUCUGUGGCUGAAGUAACUCUAUGUGCCCUUAUUUUAUAUAAACAACUUUUACCGAUGUUUAAAAAUUUAAUUAAGCAUGUGGAUUUCCUGGUCUCCUCCUCCUCCUGGUCUCCUCUUUGCAAUAUGCAGCACCGUCAGGCUGAGCUGCAUGGUAUCUCCAGUUACCAGACACACUUGCAGUCCUGGUGACCAGUACAUCCGAUUGGACUAGUGUUCUCGGGCCAUGGGGCUGAGCAAAGGACAGUCAAACAAGCCACCGGGACACGGAAGCCCUACUGAUCAAUCAGUGUCUCAUCACAUCUUCCCAGAUGGUGUUACCCUCAUACAAGGGACCAUAGAGGAUGUCACAUAUCUUGGAAAACCUACUGCACUGCUGGUCCUUAGAGAAGAAACUGAAAAUGCAGUGUUGUAAUCUCAGUGACCGAGGUUACCCAAGCAACAGUUCACUGUGCUAAUAAAAGUCUGAAAGGUAAUGGCCACUUUGAGCACCCCUUGUAAUUGUAAAGGCCAAAGGUAACUUGUAUUAAUCUCAUGAUGU